AUUGAACGCUGGCGGCAGGCUUAACACAUGCAAGUCGAGCGGGGGAAGGUAGCUUGCUACCGGACCUAGCGGCGGACGGGUGAGUAAUGCUUAGGAAUCUGCCUAUUAGUGGGGGACAACAUCUCGAGAGGGAUGCUAAUACCGCAUACGUCCUACGGGAGAAAGCAGGGGAUCUUCGGACCUUGCGCUAAUAGAUGAGCCUAAGUCGGAUUAGCUAGUUGGUGGGGUAAAGGCCUACCAAGGCGACGAUCUGUAGCGGGUAUGAGAGGAUGAUCCGCCACACUGGGACUGAGACACGGCCCAGACUCCUACGGGAGGCAGCAGUGGGGAAUAUUGGACAAUGGGGGGAACCCUGAUCCAGCCAUGCCGCGUGUGUGAAGAAGGCCUUAUGGUUGUAAAGCACUUUAAGCGAGGAGGAGGCUACUUUAGUUAAUACCUAGAGAUAGUGGACGUUACUCGCAGAAUAAGCACCGGCUAACUCUGUGCCAGCCGCCGCCGUAA
rnacentral:rRNA from 1 species